rnacentral:rRNA from 1 species
UACGAAGGGUGCUAGCGUUGUUCGGAAUUACUGGGCGUAAAGGGCGUGUAGGCGGCUUGUUUAGUUAGGCGUGAAAGCCCCGGGCUCAACCUGGGAACUGCGCUUAAUACUGGCAAGCUUGAAUACGGGAGAGGAAUGUGGAAUUCCGAGUGUAGAGGUGAAAUUCGUAGAUAUUCGGAAGAACACCAGUGGCGAAGGCGACAUUCUGGACCGUUAUUGACGCUGAGGCGCGAAAGCGUGGGGAGCAAACAGG